rnacentral:rRNA from 1 species
GUGCCAGACUCCUACGGGAGGCAGCAGUGGGGAAUAUUGCACAAUGGGCGCAAGCCUGAUGCAGCAACGCCGCGUGAGCGAAGAAGGUCUUCGGAUCGUAAAGCUCUGUCCUUGAGGAAGAAGGAAGUGACCGUACUCAAGGAGGAAGCCCCGGCUAACUACGUGCCAGCAGCCGCGGUAAUACGUAGGGGGCAAGCGUUAUCCGGAAUUAUUGGGCGUAAAGAGUACGUAGGUGGGCGCUUAAGUCAGGUGUGAAAACUCCGGGCUCAACCUGGAGACUGCACUUGAAACUGGGUGUCUUGAGGGCAGGAGAGGAAAGUGGAAUUCCUAGUGUAGCGGUGAAAUGCGUAGAUAUUAGGAGGAACACCAGUGGCGAAGGCGACUUUCUGGACUGUACCUGACGCUGAGGCGCGAAAGCGUGGGUAGCGAACGGGAUUAGAUACCCCCGUAAA